rnacentral:misc_RNA from 1 species
UUCAUACAUCUUGCAGACAACUUGAGGCAUCCGUAAAUCCUCAAUUGUUGUAAAGAGGUCAGCAAAUGCAUUCCCUCAGGCAGCGAUGUCAAACUAGGGCAAUCAGAAAUUUUUAGCCGUUGAAGUUUUGUGAGGUUGCCUAUCCAAUCUGAUAAAGCCAUCAAACUUGAACAACCAUUGAUAGUGAGCUCUUGCAGGUUUGUAACAAAUUGAAGCCCCUUUGGUAGAG